UCCAGCUUAUCGCUGGCGGUCUCCUGCGAGUUGCGCCUUGCGGCAUGCCAACACAGGACAAGGGUUGCGCUCGUUGCGGGACUUAACCCAACAUCUCACGGCACGAGCUGACGACAGCCAUGCAGCACCUGUGCAGCGGUCCCGAAGGAAGAUGCCAUUUCUGGCACUGUCCACUGCAUGUCAAGCCUGGGUAAGGUUCUUCGCGUUGCAUCGAAUUAAACCACAUGCUCCACUGCUUGUGCGGGUCCCCGUCAAUUCUUUUGAGUUUCAGCCUUGCGACUGUACUCCCCAGGCGGUAUACUUAACGCGUUAGCUCCGGCACAGCCAGGGUUGAUUCCGGCUACACCAAGUAUACAUAGUUUAGGGCAAGGACUAC
rnacentral:misc_RNA from 1 species